GCUGGUUGCCUGCGAGACGAAUCUAAGUUCCACCUUAAUUUUACUCUAAAAGACCUAACCUACUCUUACGUAGUAAAUUAAGAGUAAUUUAAAGGAGGUACAGCUCCUUUAAAAAAGAACACAAUCUCCCCCAGAGGAUAAGUACCUCACACACACACCUGUAGGCCCUCAAGCAGCCAUCAACAAAGAGUGCGUCAAAGCUCUACCACAUAAAAAUCUAAAAACACAUACGACUCCCUCACCCAUAGCAGGCUAACCUAUAAAAAUAGGAGAACUAAUGCUAGAAUAAGUAACUAAGGAACCUCCUUCUAAAGCACAAACUUACAUACUACAUUAUUAACAGACCCCCAUAUAUCUCAACUACCACRAGACAAAAUAUUAAACACUCUGUUAAUCCAACCCAGGAGUGCCAAAUUAGAAAGAUUCAAACCUGUAAAAGGAACUAGGCAAACCCAAGGCCCGACUGUUUACCAAAAACACAGCCUUCAGCAGACCAAGUAUUGAAGGUGAUGCCUGCCCAGUGACACAAAGUUCAACGGCCGCGGUAUCCUAACCG
rnacentral:rRNA from 1 species